rnacentral:rRNA from 1 species
CCUACGGGAGGCAGCAGUAGGGAAUCUUCCGCAAUGGACGAAAGUCUGACGGAGCAAUGCCGCGUGAGUGAAGAAGGUUUUCGGAUCGUAAAACUCUGUUGUUAGAGAAGAACAAGGAUGAGAGUAACUGCUCAUCCCCUGACGGUAUCUAACCAGAAAGCCACGGCUAACUACGUGCCAGCAGCCGCGGUAAUACGUAGGUGGCAAGCGUUGUCCGGAUUUAUUGGGCGUAAAGCGAGCGCAGGCGGUUCUUUAAGUCUGAUGUGAAAGCCCCCAGCUCAACUGGGGAAGGUCAUUGGAAACUGGGGAACUUGAGUGCAGAAGAGGAGAGUGGAAUUCCACGUGUAGCGGUGAAAUGCGUAGAUAUGUGGAGGAACACCAGUGGCGAGGGCGACUCUCUGGUCUGUAACUGACGCUGAGGCUCGAAGGCGUGGGGAGCAAACAGGAUUAGAUACCCUGGUAGUCCACGCCGUAAACGAUGAGUGCUAAGUGUUGGGGGGUUUCCGCCCCUCAGUGCUGCAGCUAACGCAUUAAGCACUCCGCCUGGGGAGUACGGCCGCAAGGCUGAAACUCAAAGGAAUUGACGG